rnacentral:rRNA from 1 species
GAGGAGCUUGCUCCUUGGGUGACGAGUGGCGGACGGGUGAGUAAUGUCUGGGAAACUGCCCGAUGGAGGGGGAUAACUACUGGAAACGGUAGCUAAUACCGCAUAACGUCGCAAGACCAAAGAGGGGGACCUUCGGGCCUCUUGCCAUCGGAUGUGCCCAGAUGGGAUUAGCUAGUAGGUGGGGUAACGGCUCACCUAGGCGACGAUCCCUAGCUGGUCUGAGAGGAUGACCAGCCACACUGGAACUGAGACACGGUCCAGACUCCUACGGGAGGCAGCAGUGGGGAAUAUUGCACAAUGGGCGCAAGCCUGAUGCAGCCAUGCCGCGUGUAUGAAGAAGGCCUUCGGGUUGUAAAGUACUUUCAGCGAGGAGGAAGGCGUUGUGGUUAAUAACCGCAACGAUUGACGUUACUCGCAGAAGAAGCACCGGCUAACUCCGUGCCAGCAGCCGCGGUAAUACGGAGGGUGCAAGCGUUAAUCGGAAUUACUGGGCGUAAAGCGCACGCAGGCGGUCUGUCAAGUCGGAUGUGAAAUCCCCGGGCUCAACCUGGGAACUGCAUCCGAAACUGGCAGGCUAGAGUCUUGUAGAGGGGGGUAGAAUUCCAGGUGUAGCGGUGAAAUGCGUAGAGAUCUGGAGGAAUACCGGUGGCGAAGGCGGCCCCCUGGACAAAGACUGACGCUCAGGUGCGAAAGCGUGGGGAGCAAACAGGAUUA